CCCUCAGAGGCACAGGAGUGAUCUUGAGUCUAGCCAGCCUUGGAAGCGGGGUUUGACUCUGUUCCUCCCAGACAAGGACAUGUGGGAACAUCCCCCAGGGAAAAGGCUAAACCUUACUUUCAUAAGCAUUGGUGUGAUUGUGCUUGGGAAGUGGAGAAGAGAAGUCUGUCUUUGGGCCAGUCCCUACUCUCAGGACUUGGAAGAGAAGGACCAGGGAGGGAAAUACUCUUUCUCCCACAUCUGCCUCCCAACCACUGGACCAGCCAUGAUCUCUACUCCCACUUUGGUGAUUGGGAUUCUGUUAUUAUUUGGGGGCACUUAUGAAGAUUCAGUGACCCAGACAGAAGGACACAUCACUCUCCUUGAGGGAGCAUCACUCACACUGAACUGCUCUUAUCAGACCAUUAAUAUACCUUAUCUUUUCUGGUAUAUCCAGUAUCCCAGUGAAGUUCUGAAGCUCUUCCUGAGAGAAACAUCAGGGAAAGACCAAGAGAAAGACAACAAUGGAUUUUGGACCAGAAAGAUUAAGGAAGAAUCUUCCUUCUACCUGGAGAAGACCUCAGUCCAAAUAGGAGAUUCUGCUGUGUACUACUGUGUUCUGAGUGACACAGUGAUGGAGACUGUAGGGAGAGCUGAACACAAACCCUGAGAAGCAUAGGAGUGAUCCUGAGUCUGCCAGCCCUGAGAGGGGAGUUUUAUUCUCUAUUCCAAAAAUACCAGCUUUGGGGACAUCUCUUGAAUAAAGGGCUAAACUCUACUGUCCUACAAACCCUGGUUUCAUAGAUGUCUGUGAAUAUCAUAAACCUCAGUUCCUGCACUCAGGCACGAACAUGCCUUCUCUUUCUCUGGUCCUAGAUAUUCUUAUUUAGGAAUUAUUUAUAAGAAGUUUACUGCUUUUCUUCCAUAAAGGGAAGCAUUUGAA